UCUGGGACUUUCAUCCCCAAAAUGGCCCGAGAGUUCUCUCCCCUAUUCUGCCAUGUGAGGGACACAGGGAGAAGGUGCCAUCCAUGAACCAAGAAGCCAGCCCUGCACGGACCCUGAAUCCGCCUGCAUCUUGAUCUUGGACCUCCAGCCUCCAGAGCUGUGAACAACAGGCCUCUGCUGUUGUAGCUUCCCGUCUGCGAUACUCGGUUCUAGCAUCUCAACAGACCAAGACACGCUCCAAUUUGCCAAUGUUUGAAGCAGGGUAUGUGAGAAAAAGGGCAUGAACCUCCGCCAUUCUCUGAACAACAACGUUUUUGCCAUUUCCUAAGACACAGGAGAGCUAGGGAGAAGAAAGUUGGUGCCUGGGAUCAAUACUUUAGUUUUGGACAUGGUAAAUUUAAGAGAUCCAAUUCAGAAGUCAACUAGCCCAGGGGAAUGAAGAAAACUGAGCCCAUUAGUCUAGAAAAUUAAUAUUUACACAUGAUUCAUUCGAAGAACUAGGAAGGCUCGUGCUGACUCUUACUUCUCCUGAAAUUGCAUUUUCACUCAUAGAAUAAAGGCAGUUUAUGAAAUAAGACAUAUCAUUAAUUUCUUCAACUUUUUUGUAAUUUGUAAUAUAUGUGAUGCAUCAUAAACUUUCAUUUCAGUAUGAAAAUGUGUUUCUGUAUUAUUUUCUUUGAAUAGCAACAAAACGACAGAAAACAAGUCGCUAAGAUAAUUAUUUGGGAAUUCUAUUUAAAGACUAUCUUUUGAAGAAGUGGAGAUCUGACUCAUAAGUUGUUUUCUAUACAGCAUCGCAUUAAAGCCUCAGGAC
rnacentral:lncRNA from 1 species